UGUCUCUGGGACCUUCAGCAAUAGCAGCAAGUUGAUAAAUAUGGGGGUUGCGGCAUUCUUACAUCGGACUGGUGGCUCGCGCUCACAGACUCUCAACCACCACAAAAUUAACCAGUGUCCCUCUUUUUUCUUUGGGGGCGGGGGAACUUCCACGCAUGGUGAUGGCGGUUCGUAUCGCUCUCCAACCCCUAUAAAUACCAACUUUCCCUUCGCAAACCCUACAUACCAAAGCCCUUUCGCAUGUUCAUCAUCUUCUCCAUUCGAAACCCUAACUUUUUUCCUUCCCUUCUACACACUGAAGAAGUCUUGAUCCCAGGAAGACAUGGAAGCUUCGCUCGAAGAAGAAGAGGAACCAAACCUAUCGCCCAGUCCUAGUCGAGGUAAUGGAAUUGUUAAUUUCUUUGUAGCUGUAGGUUUCUAUUUUGUUUUUCCACCAGCAUAUGUGACUUGAGUUUCAGGUGUGCGGAAGAGAAUUGAAUGGUAGAAAGAAAAACCGGAGAUGGUACUGUGUAUGAGCAACCCUAAUCUACCAGAAAACGUUAUUGAACCUCGCUUGAGAUAAUCAUGGAGGAGCAGAGGAACUUUGCCCCCGCAUCUGGAACACUCAUUUGAGCAAGAAAUAUAUAGCCAUUUCCGUAUUUAAUGGACCAACAACAUUAUGUUGUGAAGGACCUCGACCUUGGACCUUCAUGCUGUCUAAAAGGGUUGGUGGAUCUCAAGUGGCAUAUUGACGAGCUAUGGCUGCUUUUCAUUGAAAAGCAGCCCCAUUAGAAUGUGAAGAAACGAGCUCCGAAAGCCAUCGCUAAUAUAUGGUAACGAUGAUUUUUCAAAAGGCGAUUUUCGUGCAUGAGUUUCCAUGUAAAAGAAAGUAACUUCCUAUGUUAGCAACAAAAAAAAAAAAAAACUUAGGUAUACGACGGUCUAUUUUUUGGGUUUAAAUUGUUGUUUCACCACUGAAUCAUACAAUUGUAGAAUCAAAUGUUUUAUGAAUUUGAAGAAUCUGAUAUUCUU